ACGGGUGAGUAAUAUAUCGGAACGUACCCUAGAGUGGGGGAUAACGCAGCGAAAGUUGCGCUAAUACCGCAUACGAUCUACGGAUGAAAGUGGGGGAUCGCAAGACCUCAUGCUCAUGGAGCGGCCGAUAUCUGAUUAGCUAGUUGGUAGGGUAAAAGCCUACCAAGGCUUCGAUCAGUAGCUGGUCUGAGAGGACGACCAGCCACACUGGAACUGAGACACGGUCCAGACUCCUACGGGAGGCAGCAGUGGGGAAUUUUGGACAAUGGGCGCAAGCCUGAUCCAGCAAUGCCGCGUGAGUGAGGAAGGCCUUCGGGUUGUAAAGCUCUUUUGUCAGGGAAGAAACGGUGGACUCUAAUACAGAUCACUAAUGACGGUACCUGAAGAAUAAGCACCGGCUAACUACGUGCCAGCAGCCGCGGUAAUACGUAGGGUGCAAGCGUUAAUCGGAAUUACUGGGCGUAAAGCGUGCGCAGGCGGUUGUGCAAGACAGAUGUGAAAUCCCCGGGCUCAACCUGGGAAUUGCAUUUGUGACUGCACGGCUAGAGUGUGUCAGAGGGGGGUAGAAUUCCACGUGUAGCAGU
rnacentral:rRNA from 1 species